GCGGCGGUAGUCUAGCCUGGUUGGGGCAAUCGGCUAGCCCCCAGAGUAGGAUGGCGGCCUUCCAAGCCGUUGGCGGGCAGACGCCCGGCGGAGAUCCCGGGUUCGAAUCCCGGCCGCCGCA
rnacentral:tRNA from 1 species